UCGAGGAUCUUCGGCAAUGGGCGCAAGCCUGACCGAGCGAGGCCGCGUGGGCGAUGAAGGCCUUCGGGUUGUAAAGCCCUGUCGAGGGGGAGAAAAGCCGAAAGGUUUGAUCUAUCCCUGGAGGAAGCACGGGCUAAGUUCGUGCCAGCAGCCGCGGUAAGACGAACCGUGCGAACGUUGUUCGGAAUCACUGGGCUUAAAGGGCGCGUAGGCGGGCUAUCAAGUCCGGGGUGAAAUCCUCCAGCUCAACUGGAGAACGGCCUCGGAUACUGAUGGUCUCGAGGGGGAUAGGGGCACACGGAACUGUGGGUGGAGCGGUGAAAUGCGUUGAUAUCCAUAGGAACUCCGGUGGCGAAAGCGGUGUGCUGGAUCCCUUCUGACGCUGAGGCGCGAAAGCCAGGGGAGCAAACGGG
rnacentral:rRNA from 1 species